UAGGGAAUCUUCCGCAAUGGACGCAAGUCUGACGGAGCAACGCCGCGUGAGUGAAGAAGGAUUUCGGUUCGUAAAACUCUGUUGUUAGAGAAGAACAGCGCAUAGAGUAACUGUUAUGCGUGUGACGGUAUCUAACCAGAAAGCCACGGCUAACUACGUGCCAGCAGCCGCGGUAAUACGCAGGUGGCAAGCGUUGUCCGGAUUUAUUGGGCGUAAAGCGAGCGCAGGCGGUCAAUUAAGUCUGAUGUGAAAGCCCCCGGCUCAACCGGGGAGGGUCAUUGGAAACUGGUUGACUUGAGUGCAGAAGAGGAGAGUGGAAUUCCAUGUGUAGCGGUGAAAUGCGUAGAUAUAUGGAGGAACACCAGUGGCGAAGGCGACUCUCUGGUCUGUAACUGACGCUGAGGUUCGAAAGCGUGGGUAGCAAACAGG
rnacentral:rRNA from 1 species